GUCAACUUCCGCCGAGCAAUUGUUUAUAUGGUUUUGAAGAGCGAAGUUGAUAUACACCUCGAACGAAGAAUAAGAAGAUUGAUAUUUGACUUGAUAUAUAUUUUAUAAAAGGUAAACAGCAUACAUUUUACACAUUUUACACACUGUAUUAUUUUACUGAUCUCCGCAUCAGGUUCUAAAUAUAUACUUUGCCCUAUUUAUAGAUUGUAGUUUCCCCUGUUAAAUAUAGCGCGAUCGGCAAUUCAAACACGUUAACGUUGGUUGUUCAUUUGUUAUUAUUCAUUCGCGUAUUCCUGUGUGAAUAAACUGUGUUGUAUAUUUAUUGUGUAUUAUAAUAAAGUAUUGUAUUUUUACAUGUUGUUUGCAUAUAAACGUAACUGCCGUAUAAAGUUGUGGUAAUUGUUUAAUGAGACAAAUACUUGUUGUGAAGCCCAUGUAUGAUUUUACCCGCUCGGACCCGUUUGUUCUAUAAAUAAGUAAGUUCACAACAACUGGUGACAGCCGUGGGAUUAAUUUAAAAUUCGUGUUAUUUAAAGAUUGCAAAACUUUUCAAAGCAGUUUUUAGCUUUUGGUUUUGUUUUCUUUGUUCGGAAAC
rnacentral:lncRNA from 1 species